UUUGGUGAUUCAUAGUAACUUUUCGAAUCGCAUGGACUUUACGUCGGCGAUGGUUCAUUCAAAUUUCUGCCCUAUCAAGUUUCGAUGGUAGGAUCAAGAGGCCUACCCAUGCUUUUUACGGGUAACGGCGAAUUAGGGUUCGAUUCCGGAGAGGGAGCCUGAGAAACGGCUACCACAUCUAAGGAAGGCAGCAGGCGCGCAAAUUACCCAAUCCUGAUUCAGGGAGGUAGUGACAAUAAAUAACAAUCCAGGACUUCGGUCUUGGAAUUGGAAUGAGAACAAUUUAAAUCUCUUAUCGAGGAACAAUUGGACGGGCAAAGUCUGGUGCCAGCAGCCGCGGUAAUUCCAGCUCCAAUAGCGUAUAUUUAAAGUUGUUGCAGUUAAAUAGCUCGUAGUUGAAUCUUGGGGCUGGUUUGGCGGUCGCGUCUUUGACGUGUACUGUCGGCCGGUUCUUUUACUUGUGGGGAAACGUAUGUGCCCUUUGCGGGGUGUGUACGGGAACCAUGGCUGUUUACUUUUGAAAAAAAUUAGAGUGUUUAAAGCGGGCGUAAGCUUGGUAUACAUUAAGCAUGGAAUAAUAGAAUAGGACUUUGGUUA
rnacentral:rRNA from 1 species